rnacentral:siRNA from 1 species
UCAGUUGAUAUGGAGUCUCAUGA